rnacentral:lncRNA from 1 species
CUUCAGACUCGGGUUGGAAUCUACACCCGUGGCUCUCCAGCUCUCAGGCCUUCCAACUAUACCAUUGGCUUUCCUUGGUUUCCAGCUUUCAGACAGCAGAUGGUGGACUUCGAGGCCUCCAUAAUUGUACAUAAUUGUACAAGCCAAUCCUUUAUAAUAAAUCUCUUCAUAUCUCUGUGUUUCUCUGGAGAACCCUGACUAAUGCACUUUCUCCAUGCUGCUCUCUGCUUCACAACACAGGCUGCUAUUCACCUGAAGUUUUCUCAUGCCCUUCUGCAAUCCUUCUCUCCUAUGCCCCUUAUUCCACAGACAUGAGCAGACCUCAUAUUUCCUGUUAUUCCAUGGUCUAACCUGAGCUUGUAUUUUUCCCUUCUUUUAUUGGCAAGAACAGGGCUCCUAUUUGUUAUAGCCAGCACUCCUAAUUUACUCUUGUUCCACAG